UUGGAGGGCAAGUCUGGUGCCAGCAGCCGCGGUAAUUCCAGCUCCAAUAGCGUAUAUUAAAGUUGUUGCAGUUAAAAAGCUCGUAGUUGAAUUUCGGGAUCAAUAUGUCGGUCGUGCUUUUGGUACGUACUGGCAUCAUUGGUUUCUCCCUUCUGACAAACCAUGAUGUCAUUAAUUUGGUGUUAUGGGGUGUUAGGACUGUUACUUUGAAAAAAUUAGAGUGUUUAAAGCAGGCAUUAGCUUGAAUACAUUAGCAUGGAAUAAUGAAAUAGGACGUUUGACCCUAUUUUGUUGGUUUCUAGGAUCGACGUAAUGAUUAAUAGGGAUAGUUGGGGGCAUUAGUAUUCAAUUGUCAGAGGUGAAAUUCUUGGAUUUAUUGAAGACUAACUACUGCGAAAGCAUUUGCCAAGGAUGUUUUCAUUAAUCAAGAACGAAAGUUAGGGGAUCGAAGACGAUCAGAUACCGUCGUAGUCUUAACCAUAAACUAUGCCGACUAGGGAUCGGAUGAUGUUAAUUUUUUAAUGACUCAUUCGGCGCCUUACGGGAAAC
rnacentral:rRNA from 1 species